GAAUGUGAGGGCAAUCUGGCUGCAACAUCUCUCACCCCGUUGAUCACCAAGGUUGAUUUGGCUGAUCUGGCUGGCUAGGCGGGUGUCCCUUCCUCCCUUCACUGCUCCAUGUGCAUCCUCCCGAAGCUGUGCGCUUGGUCGAAGAAGACGAACAUCCCCGAUAGAGGAGGACUGUUCUUUGGUCAAGGGUAUAUGAGUAGCUGCGCUCCUCUGCUAGAACCUCCAAACAAGUCUCAAGGUCCAUGACAUGUUAGAAGCUAAGACUACAAAGUCUAAUGCAGACAACAGUGAUUACAGUAACAGGGUUACAGAUACUC
rnacentral:snRNA from 1 species